UAUGGAGCCCACAGGUGUAUGCAGUUCACAGGUGUAUGCAAUCCACAGGUGCAUGCAGUCCACAGGUGUACGAAGCCCACAGGUGUAUGCAGCCCACAGGUGUAUGCAGCCCACAGGUACAUGCAGCCCACAGGUGUAUGCAGCCCACAGGUGUAUGCAGUCCACAGGUACAUGCA